AUAGUAAAUUAAACUUGCUAACAUACCAAAUAGCAAUGGCCUAUGUCAAAAGACAAAAAAUUAUGGUCCGGACAAAAAAAUUGCUCCAUAACUUCUAUUAUUUGAUCUUUACAUAAAACGUCAAGGUCAAAAGACAAAAAAGUUAUGGUCCAGACAAAAAAAGCCCCAAAAUUCCUAUUAAUAAAUUGACCUUUACAUAAAAGGUCAAGGGUAAUCAAAAAUGGUAUGCAACACAUUGUCUUAUCAUAGUAUACCCACAUACCAAAUGUCAAAGGCCAAUGUCAAAAGACAAAAGUUAUGGUCCGAGCAAACUUUGUAUGAGAAGCAGAAGAAGAAUUAACACUAAAAAUAUGUCCCCCCUUCUGGGAGGGGAGACAAUUAUAUCUAACAGAAUUUUCAUUGUAAUUAUCAAUAAAAAAAAACACCCCAGACCAGUUUUCAACUGCAUUGAUAAUUACUGGUAUUUGAGAAAAAUCCAUUGUAUAGUACAAUAGUUAAAUAAUCUAAUUAGGCUAAAUCAUGCUAAAUGCUGUCAAGAACAGAAAGCAUACCACAUUGAAUUAAAUAUGGUGGGAUAGAACAUUGGGAUAAAGUAUGUGACUGGACUUCAAAACCGGAAGGGGAUUUUUCUGUUUGUUUAUCAUAUGACAGUCACAAAAUAGUAAUUUCUUUUUACUAUCCUGCUAGUUUGCCUAUGUAUGAUUAUAUAUUUUGUACACAAUUUCAAGGCUAUCCGAUAAAGCCAUAUAGUAAAAGUGUUCACAAGUUAUUUUACAUCCUCCACCCCUCUUAGAUCCACUAUAAUUUUUAGGAAAAUAAUUGGAUCCUCACAUCUCAACAAUAUGCACAUCUACAAAUGGCAAUGAAGCAAUCUACUAAGUUUCAAGUCUAUUUGAUAAGCCCUAUAGGAGGAGAAGCAUUCACAAGAUUUUGUGACAGAUGGACAGGACUGACAGAUGGACAGCAUGCAAGUACAAAAACAAUAUACCUCCCUCUUGAAGAGGGGAGACAUAAAUAUGGUUUAGGUUACUUUCAAGCAAUUGUAAGAACUAAUUCUUUGGAGUGACAUUAAUAUACAUGGUUAUAUUUUUCAAUAGAUUCUUUUAAAAAAUUUGAUUCAAAACAUAUCAAUAAACACAUCUUUUGUCAUUUUAAAUUAAGACAACAUAAUUCAUGAUGUUCUACAAUACUGUCCAGUUUUGGAGGUUUGGUUGAUUGAUUAAUUGAAUAUUGUUUAAAGUCCCUCUCGAGAAUAUUUCAGUCAUAUGGAGAAUUCACCACUGCCGGUGAAGGGCUGCAAAAUUUCGGCCUAUGCUCAGCGCUUAUGGCCUUUGAGCAAGGAGGGAUCUUUUUCGUGACACACCUGCUGUGACACGGGGCCUUGGUUUUUGUGGUCUCAUCCGAAGGACCGCUUAAUUCGCCUUCUACAACAAGCAAGGGGUACUGAGGACCUAUUCUAACCCGGAUCCCCAUGAGAAUGGAGGUUUGAAAAAACUAAAUGCGGCAGAGCAACACGAAUGUCCCCCACCUAAAGGCCUAGCUGCCAAAAGUUAUCCAACUGAACCCAUACAAUUGAAUAUGUGCAUCUGAAGCAAAAAUGAUGUAAGGAAACUAAAUUAUGACAGGAGGAUAGAAGAGGAAUGCUGUUAUUCACCUCCCCUUCCCAACUGCACUACAUUACUGUGGUGUUCUGGACAAGGAUCGAGUCACAAAACGGACGGAACCCUGCCCUGACCUUUUACUCGAUCCUGCAGCCAAACAAUUCAUAGUAUGUUUCAGACAUGCAGAGGUCAUAAGCAUAUCCCUCUAAUGACAUUUGACAAUGGAAACUUUCUAUCCCUACAUUUCUAUCACUUAGAGGAUUUGUGGGAAGUAAAUGUCUUUGGGGACAACAGCCUCUUCCAAGGAUUAUUUACUCAUCAGGAAAUGCUGCCACUUUGAUGUUCAUCAGCACACAGUUUCCUCUCAGUGCAGGCCCCAUUUAGCACAUCAGCAGAGCUUCAUCAGCACUGUGGUAGAGGACUGGGUAAACACGGAGACAUCUCCUAUGCCUGGCAGCCCCAGUCUUGCAGCACUCUCAGUUUAUCAAUAAAUUGUAAGCAAUGUU